GGGCCCGUAGCUCAGUUGGUUAGAGCAGUCGACUCAUAAUCGAUUGGUCGCAAGUUCAAGUCUUGCCGGGCCCA
rnacentral:tRNA from 2 species